rnacentral:rRNA from 1 species
AUACGUAGGGUGCAAGCGUUAAUCGGAAUUACUGGGCGUAAAGCGUGCGCAGGCGGUUCGGAAAGAAGGAUGUGAACUCCCAGGGCUCAACCUUGGAACUGCAUUCUUAACUACCGAACUAGAGUAUGUCAGAGGGGGGUAGAAUUCCGCGUGUAGCAGUGAAAUGCGUAGAUAUGCGGAGGAAUACCGAUGGCGAAGGCGGCCCCCUGGGAUAAUACUGACGCUCAGGCACAAAAGCGUGGGUAGCAAGCAGCAUUAGAUACCCUGGUAGUCGACGCCCUCAACGAUGUCAUCUAGCCGUUGUGCUCCUCUGGGCUUAGUCGCGUAGCUAACGCGUGAAUUUGACCGCCUGGGGAGUACGGUCGCAAGUUUAAAACGCAAAUGAAUUAACUGUG